UUAAUUACUUAUCCCGUGCUUGCAAAGAAAAAAACUCUAGAGUGGACUGGUUAUAUUGGUGACGUGGCGUCCCAGCCAAUCAAAUAAUUUUUCUUUAUUUAUUCUUUCCAUCAUAAUUAUAAAAAUACAUUUUUAUUAUUAUAUUUUUUUUUUUUUAAAAAAAAUAUGAUUAAUUAUUUUUAAUAAUAUAGUAUAAGUAUGAUAUAGUAGGCUUUCUCGAUCGCAACCGAGUGGCGAAGUAAGUAAAAUAUAUGUAUUGUAAUUGUAAUAAUAAUAAUAAUAA
rnacentral:lncRNA from 1 species